rnacentral:pre_miRNA from 1 species
UUUUAAAAUUUUUAUCUAUUUUUACUGUUAAAAACUGGUGUAACUGGUAAAAUGACCAAAUAGUUACACGUUGCGAGCCACAUGUAUUACAUUUCGAAGUACAAUGACUAAUUUUUAAUAGUAAAAAUGAAUAAAAUUUUUAACA